AAGCGCUCUACCACUGAGCCACCUUCCCAGCCCCUUAAGGUUGUUUCUUAACUAUACCUGUCUGCUUUACCUCCGUAGCAGCCAGGGACGCUUGGUCUCUCAUACAU
rnacentral:snoRNA from 1 species